rnacentral:rRNA from 1 species
CGUGAGAUGUUGGGUUAAGUCCCGCAACGAGCGCAACCCUUGUCCUGUGUUGCCACUCCGCAAGGAAGCACUCUCAGGAGACCGCCAGCGAU